rnacentral:pre_miRNA from 1 species
GCAGCCUGUUCAGGUAAUGUAACGCCCUGUUUUGAUCUACGGAUGGCUUUUGGUGAAAAAUUAAAGAGGCUGUUCAAAUGUCCAGCUGUCAUUGUUGGAUGAAUGGAGGCCGUUCCAUUGCUUGCACACGCUGC